CCAGAACUGCGCAGAAGAUAUGGAAAACAAAGAAAGUUGUGCUCCCAACGCAGCCUUCCCAGCGCAGGACACGGAGAGAGGAGCUGCUCUGCUCCCGCGCUGCCCCGCGACACGUGGGGAGACCAGCCUUCCCGGUGCCCCCGCUUGCCUGUGCCCCGAAGGACCGCUUCGAACCAUCCCGUGGGAAACAGGCUGUUGUGCCGUGUCCGCAGUGGAUUUUCCAGUGCAAAGCACAUCAUGUGAAAACUCAUCCUGAACAAAAAGGAAGUUUCGCUUUUAUUUUACCAAUUGAUGGCACUUCAGAAGCAGAAAUGCAGUCUUCCUGGAGUAUCAGGGGAAAAUCAGUCACCAUUUGCACUCAAUAAACUCGGAGAUGAUACUACAGGAAUCGAUGUAACCCAUGUAUAUAUGUAUGCACAUAUUGGAAAAAGCAGCAAGUAAAACUAAGGCCUCACUGGAAUUUAAUUUAAGCAUCCAACGGCUCCAGCAUUUCUUGUGCGUACAAAGCUCCAUUGCUCAGAAGGGAAAGUUGGUGUUUCCAGAGGUGGCAGAGAGUGCCAUCGGCACUGUGAGUAUGCAGAAAACAUUAGCAAUACUAUUGUGCCAAUACUGAGAUCAUGCUACUAAUGGCAGCAUUUUUAAAAACUUCAUGGACAACUCACAAUUACCAUUUCUUCAGGCUUCUUAAAUUAUCAAGCAUUAUCAAAAUAGACAAGGUCAUUGUUUUAUCUGCAAUAAAGUCAAAGGAAUUGCCAGAGAUAUAGCAAUAGUAUUACACAUAUAAUUACUACCAUGGUAAUUUAUUCAAUAAAGCUCUCAUUUAAUUACAGGAACCUAUUACACUGAAUGAUGUGUUGGGCAUGAUUUAUAUCUCAGAUGUAAAUAUUCAGAAAUAAGCCUCCUAUAAUGAAAGCAACUCCUAGCUGUUCUCCAUUUGCAUUAGACUUCAGAGUGCUGAUACAACAGAAAGGAACCACCAGUGGGUCACAUAACUACUGAAUAUUCGAUGCAGCAGGUGAUUUAUAGACAUAAAAGAAGAUGGCUCAAACAGUGCAGUCUAAAAUAGCACUACCUACCUCUAUUAAUUGUCCUGGGUUCACAACUGGCAUAAGUAUUUCAUAUCAGCACAGGAAAAGUUAACACUUGGGGCUGUAAUCAUUUUGGAAAUGCUUACUCUAGCCUGUCAAAAAUAUGAUUAAUAAGAGGCAGUACCAAAUACCCGAUACCUGGCAUGGACAUAUAGAAGGUCCUCGAACCCUCAAGGAAAUUCUAGCUUCAGCCAGGAGAUAGGACGGAGCUGACAGGCAUUUUGCUGGUGAAACUUCAGAAAGACCAAAGGCUCAAAGGACCUGUUGAAUAUUCUGGCCAAACUUCUCUUUUUGUCACCCAGCCAAAGCUAGGGGUCAGCUCUUUGCUCCAGCUAGCAUUUAAUUAGAGAAAUAGCCAUUUUAUGUUGUUGAAGCUUCUUUACCCUUCAGGACCGUGGCCUUAAGCCACCAGUUCCUGACAGAAGCCAGUGGUGAAUUUGGCUGAUUGCAUAUCACCUGUGUCGUGCUCUUUUUGUUUGUUGUUUGCCAAUGCACACUCAUAAAUUUGAAAUGGUGGAGAUCUGUCUGUAAAUUAGUAAGUCUGCCCUCUUUUUUUCCAUGCAUUGAGAAACUGUGCGUCUGAAAUAAUAAAAUUUGAAUCUAUACUGAUUUACAGUAACUUGGAUGAAAAUAUACUGAGCCCUUGUUCAUAACGUGGAAAAAUA